rnacentral:rRNA from 1 species
GCAUAACGCGAAGAACCUUACCGGGGCUUGACAUCUUUCUGACCGCCUGGGAAACCAGGCCUUCUUCCUUCGGGAAGAUGGAAAGACAGGUGGUGCAUGGUUGUCGUCAGCUCGUGUCGUGAGAUGUUGGGUUAAGUCCCACAACGAGCGCAACCCUUGUCCUUAUUUGCCAGCCUGUUUACAGGCGUACUUUAAGGAGACUGCCGUAGAUAAUACGGAGGAAGGUGGGGAUGACGUCAAAUCCUCAUGCCCCUUACGUCCCGGGCUACACACGUGCUACAAUGGUCUGUAUAGAGGGUAGCCAAGAAGCAAUUCGGAGCCAAUCCCAAAAAGCAGGCCCCAGUUCGGAUUGGAGGCUGCAACUCGCCUCCAUGAAGUCGGAAUCGCUAGUAAUCGCGGAUCAGAAUGUCGCGGUGAAUACGUUCCCGGGUCUUGUACACACCG